AGAGUUUGAUCCUGGCUCAGAAUGAACGCUGGCGGCGUGCUUAACACAUGCAAGUCGUACGAGAAAUCUUCAGCUUGCUGAAGAGAGUAAAGUGGCGCACGGGUGAGUAACGCGUGGGUAAUCUACCCCUGAAUUCGGGAUAACAUUGCGAAAGCGAUGCUNAUACCGAAUAACAUCCAUCAGGCUUUGGUCUGAUGGAUCAAAGGUGGCCUCUACAUGAAAGCUACUGUUUGGGGAUGAGCCCGCGUACCAUUAGCUAGUUGGCAGGGUAAUGGCCUACCAAGGCAGCGAUGGUUAGCUGGUCUGAGAGGAUGAUCAGCCACACUGGAACUGACACACGGUCCAGACUCCUACGGGAGGCAGCAGUGAGGAAUUUUGCGCAAU
rnacentral:rRNA from 1 species